UUUGGAAGGAGUGUGAGACAGGGGCUGGUUUUGCAAGAGUCUGUGUGAAAGGUGAGGGCGUGUUAGAGAAGACAAUGAAAGGUUCUGCAUAUGCAGGGAACUCUGGAAAAAGCUCAGGGCUUUGCUCGUCCCACCCCGUUCCACCCCUGCCACUCCCGAAGAGCAACACAACACGGAUGGAUACAAGUUCUUCCAGGCCCAUCAAACUUAUCUGUGGUUAUCCCUGGCUUCCAGU
rnacentral:lncRNA from 1 species